GACGAACGCUGGCGGCGUGCUUAACACAUGCAAGUCGAACGGAAAGGCCCUGCUUUUGUGGGGUGCUCGAGUGGCGAACGGGUGAGUAACACGUGAGUAACCUGCCCUUGACUUUGGGAUAACUUCAGGAAACUGGGGCUAAUACCGGAUAGGAGCUCCUGCUGCAUGGUGGGGGUUGGAAAGUUUCGGCGGUUGGGGAUGGACUCGCGGCUUAUCAGCUUGUUGGUGGGGUAGUGGCUUACCAAGGCUUUGACGGGUAGCCGGCCUGAGAGGGUGACCGGCCACAUUGGGACUGAGAUACGGCCCAGGCUCCUACGGGAGGCAGCAGUGGGGAAUAUUGCACAAUGGGCGGAAGCCUGAUGCAGCAACGCCGCGUGCGGGAUGACGGCCUUCGGGUUGUAAACCGCUUUCGCCUGUGACGAAGCGUGAGUGACGGUAAUGGGUAAAGAAGCACCGGCUAACUACGUGCCAGCAGCCGCGGUGAUACGUAGGGUGCGAGCGUUGUCCGGAUUUAUUGGGCGUAAAGGGCUCGUAGGUGGUUGAUCGCGUCGGAAGUGUAAUCUUGGGGCUUAACCCUGAGCGUGCUUUCGAUACGGGUUGACUUGAGGAAGGUAGGGGAGAAUGGAAUUCCUGGUGGAGCGGUGGAAUGCGCAGAUAUCAGGAGGAACACCAGUGGCGAAGGCGGUUCUCUGGGCCUUUCCUGACGCUGAGGAGCGAAAGCGUGGGGAGCGAACAGGCUUAGAUACCCUGGUAGUCCACGCUGUAAACGGUGGGUACUAGGUGUGGGGUCCAUUCCACGGGUUCCGUGCCGUAGCUAACGCUUUAAGUACCCCGCCUGGGGAGUACGGCCGCAAGGCUAAAACUCAAAGGAAUUGACGGGGCCCCGCACAAGCGGCGGAGCAUGCGGAUUAAUUCGAUGCAACGCGUAGAACCUUACCUGGGUUUGACAUGGAUCGGGAGUGCUCAGAGAUGGGUGUGCCUCUUUUGGGGUCGGUUCACAGGUGGUGCAUGGCUGUCGUCAGCUCGUGUCGUGAGAUGUUGGGUUAAGUCCCGCAACGAGCGCAACCCUUGUUCACUGUUGCCAGCACGUUAUGGUGGGGACUCAGUGGAGACCGCCGGGGUCAACUCGGAGGAAGGUGGGGAUGACGUCAAGUCAUCAUGCCCCUUAUGUCCAGGGCUUCACGCAUGCUACAAUGGCUGGUACAGAGAGUGGCGAGCCUGUGAGGGUGAGCGAAUCUCGGAAAGCCGGUCUCAGUUCGGAUUGGGGUCUGCAACUCGACCCCAUGAAGUCGGAGUCGCUAGUAAUCGCAGAUCAGCAACGCUGCGGUAAAUACGUUCCCGGGGCU
rnacentral:rRNA from 1 species